rnacentral:rRNA from 1 species
GACAGAGGAUGCAAGCGUUAUCCGGAAUGAUUGGGCGUAAAGCGUCUGUAGGUGGCUUUUUAAGUCCGCCGUCAAAUCCCAGGGCUCAACCCUGGACAGGCGGUGGAAACUACCAAGCUGGAGUACGGUAGGGGCAGAGGGAAUUUCCAGUGGAGCGGUGAAAUGCGUAGAGAUUGGAAAGAACACCGAUGGCGAAGGCACUUUACUGGGCUAUUACUAAACACUCAGAGACGAAAGCUAGG